rnacentral:lncRNA from 1 species
UGGUUAACGGCGUAGUACAAAGAGUAGAGUUUGAAUCGUUACCUUCAGUCUAUUUCUCAUGUGACAGGUUUGGCUACAUGCAAAACCUUUUCCCUGGUGUUGGGUCAGCAACAAAUAUCGUGGUGGGUUCAGAUUUAAUGGUGAGAGCCUCAUCUAUGAACGACAAAGUGGCGAAGCCGACGGAGGCCUUCGGGCCAUGGAUGCUUGUUGAAUGAAAAUCUUGGCAUAACUCAAAAAAAUGAUAAUAGCCGA